CGACGUGGAGAACCUGCCGUAUACUGGGGGAUAACACUUAGAAAUAGGUGCUAAUACCGCAUAAGCGCACAGCUUCGCAUGAAGCAGUGUGGAAAACAAAAAGCUAAAGCUUUUGGUGGUAUACGAUGGAUCCGCGUCUGAUUAGCUAGUUGGCGGGGUAAAGGCCCACCAAGGCGACGAUCAGUAGCCGGCCUGAGAGGGUGAACGGCCACAUUGGGACUGAGACACGGCCCAAACUCCUACGGGAGGCAGCAG
rnacentral:rRNA from 1 species